UACGUAGGGUGCGAGCGUUAAUCGGAAUUACUGGGCGUAAAGCGUGCGCAGGCGGUUGUGCAAGACAGAUGUGAAAUCCCCGGGCUUAACCUGGGAAUUGCAUUUGUGACUGCACGGCUAGAGUGUGUCAGAGGGGGGUAGAAUUCCACGUGUAGCAGUGAAAUGCGUAGAUAUGUGGAGGAAUACCGAUGGCGAAGGCAGCCCCCUGGGAUAACACUGACGCUCAUGCACGAAAGCGUGGGGAGCAAACGGG
rnacentral:rRNA from 1 species